rnacentral:lncRNA from 10 species
GAGGUUCUCUGUGAGGGCUCCAUCUCUGCAGCAGGCUUCUGCCUGGUUACUCAGGCUUUCUCAUACAUCCUCUGAAAUCUAGGUGGAGGUUGCCAAACCUCCUUCACCCUUGCACUCUCCACACCUGCAGGCUUAACAACACGUGUUAGCCACCAAGGCUUAUGGCUUGUGCCCUGCACAAGUGGCACCCCAUGCCUUACUUGGGCCCUUUAGAGCUGAGCAGUGUCCCAAGGCUGGGCAGCCCCUUCUCUAUGGCUGCUUUUACAUUUUUUUCUUUCAUUUCAACCUUGGAAAAUCUUAUGCCUAUGUGCCUCAGGUAUGGUCUUCUUGUGAAGUAUCUCCCAGGGCAUUUCCUCAGUUUGAAUGUUGGCCAUUCUAGUGAGGUUGGGGAAAUUUCAUGAACAAUAUCCUGAAAUAUGUUUUCCACGUUGCUUGCUUUCUUCCCCUUUGGUUUCCUUUACAUAAUCCCCUAUUUCUUGGAGGUUUUGUUCAUUCUUUUUGUUUUAGUUCAGUGAGCCAAUCUUUGAGCUCUGAGAUUCUUUUCUCAGCUUGGUCUAUUCUGCUGGUAAUACUCGUGAUUGCAUUAUGAAAUUCUUGUAGUGUCUUUUUCAGCUCUAUCAGAUCAGUUUGGUUCUUUCUUAUAAUGCCCAUUUCAUCUAUCAGCUUCUGUAUCAUUUUAUUGUAAUCCUUAGAUUUCUUGGAUUGGGUUUUGACUUUUCUCCUGAAUCUCGAUGAUUUUUGUUCCUAUCCAUAUUCUGAAUUCUACUUCUGUCAUUUCAGCCAUUUCAGCCUGGUUAAGAACCCUUGCUGGGGCACUAGGGUGGUUGUUUGGAGGAAGAGACUCUGGCUUUUCAAGUAGCUAUAUAGCAAUGCUCCACUCCUCAGUACCAAUUUUCUGUGGCAGGCCAUCCUUAUAUUGCAAAAAAUACCUGAGGCUGGGUAAUAUAUAAAGAAGCUUAAUUGGCUUAUGGUUCUAUAGGCUGUACAAGCAGCACAGUCCCAGGCAUCUGCUCAGCUUCUGGUGAGGCCUCGGAAAGCUUACAAUCAUGGUGGAAGGCAAAGGAACCCGAUGUCUCACAUAGUGAGAAUCAAGAGUAAGAGAGAGUGAAGGAAGAAGCCAUAUACUUGUAAACAGGCAAACCUCAUGAGCACGCACCAUCACAAGGACAGCAUCAAGUGGAUGGGGCUAAACCAUUCAUGAGAAAUCUGCACCAAUGAUGCAGUCACCUCCUACCAGGUUCCACCUCCAGCACUGGAAAUUACAAUUCAACAAGAGAGUUAGAGGGGUCAACUUCCAAACUAUAUCAUUCUCCCUGCAGUUCUAUCAGUUUUUGCCUCAUGUAUCCUGAUCCUCUGUUCUUGGGUGCAUACAUGUUAAGGAUAGUCAUGUCUUCUUGGAGAAUGGACCCCUUUCAUCAUUAUCCCUGAUAGUAAUUCUUGCUGUAUAGUCUGCUAUUCUAUAAUAUACCUGUUUCUUCAUUUUGGUUAGUGUUAGCCUGGCAUAUUUUUCUCUCUUUAAUUUGUAUGUCUCUUUACAUUUCAAGUGGGUUGCUUGUAACCAACAUAUAAUUGGGUUUUGUUCUUUGAUCCUGCUUUGACAAUUUUUUCUUUUUUAAACUGGCCCAGUUUUUCCAUAUAAUAAUCUAUCUUUUAAUUGGUACAUUUACACCCUUGACAUUCAAAGUAUUUAUAUAUUUGGAUAAACAUCUACCAUAAUGUUACUGUUUUCUAUUUGUUAACCUUGUUCUUUAUUCCUAUUUUUGUCUUCCAUUCGUCUUGUGCCUUUGAUGGUGUUAAUUUGGCAUUUUAUUAUUCUCUCUUCUAGCGUGGUUUUCUUGUGGUUGCCCUUGUGUUUGCAGUAUAGAUUUACAAAUAAUGCAACCCCUCUUUCAAAUAAUAAUAUACUGCUUCUUGGGCAGUGUACCUUAUAGUAACAAAAUAAUCCUAAUUUCUCUUUCCUAUCCCAUGUAUCAUUGCUGUCAUUCCACUUAUAUAUAAGCACCCCUAAGUAUGACGACUAUACACACACACACACACACACACACACAAAAAUAUAUGUGUACAAAAUCAAAUACAUUGUUGCCAUUAUUUUGAAUGAACUGUUAACUGUUAGAUUAAGAAUUGGUACCAUAUGGAACAGGUUAGUGGAACUUACUAUAAAAGGCUUUUCUUUGGGGGAAAUUUUUAAUUACUGAAACUAUUUAGGAGCUGUGGGAUUACAUGUCUAUCUUCAAUUAGUUUGAGUAAAAUACUCGUAGUAAUUUGUGUAUUUUGUCAGUUUUCAAAUGAAUUGUUCAUAAUAUCCUCACAUUUUCAAAUUUCAACUGCGUUUAUAAAAUUUUCAUUUUUCCAUUCUCUAUUUGUGUCUUCUUGCUCGAUCUUACCAAAAUAUUUUGUUUUAGUGCUUUUUCAAUAAACAAGUUCUGGCUUAUUUU